rnacentral:misc_RNA from 1 species
UCCGGUUUAUCACCGGCAGUUCCGCUAGAGUGCCCAACUAAAUGCUGGCAACUAGUGGUAAGGGUUGCGCUCGUUGCGGGACUUAACCCAACAUCUCGCGACACGAGCUGACGACAGCCAUGCAGCACCCGUGCACGAUCUCCGAAGAGGGGCUCUCGUUUCUGAGAGCUUGCUCGUACAUGUCAAGCCUAGGUAAGGUUCUUCGCGUUGCGUCGAAUUAAACCACACGCUCCGCUGCUUGUGCGGGCCCCCGUCAAUUCCUUUGAGUUUUAACCUUGCGGCCGUACUCCCCAGGCGGUCGACUUCACGCGUUAGCUACGGUACCAAGGAAUCGCUUCCCCAACACCUAGUCGACAUCGUUUAGGGCGUGGACUAC